rnacentral:rRNA from 1 species
UGAGGAAUAUUGGACAAUGGGUGAGAGCCUGAUCCAGCCAUCCCGCGUGAAGGAUGACGGUCCUAUGGAUUGUAAACUUCUUUUGUACAGGGAUAAACCUACUCUCGUGAGGGUAGCUGAAGGUACUGUACGAAUAAGCACCGGCUAACUCCGUGCCAGCAGCCGCGGUAAUACGGAGGGUGCAAGCGUUAUCCGGAUUUAUUGGGUUUAAAGGGUCCGUAGGCGGAUUUGUAAGUCAGUGGUGAAAUCUCAUAGCUUAACUAUGAAACUGCCAUUGAUACUGCAGGUCUUGAGUAAAUUUGAAGUGGCUGGAAUAAGUAGUGUAGCGGUGAAAUGCAUAGAUAUUACUUAGAACACCAAUUGCGAAGGCAGGUCACUAAGAUUUAACUGACGCUGAUGGACGAAAGCGUGGGGAGCGAACA